CCGGGUACCUGUAAAGACACUUAGUAAAAGUGUUAGUUAUAAAUAAAUAUGAAUAAAAAUAAAUGAAUCAAAUAUUAAUUAAAAAAUAAAAAUACCGUCUUAUUAACAUGGGAGACCUUGGAAAUCGACGGUAAUUUCUUCAUCGGCCAAUUUCAACUUGUAACAAAUAUGAACUUAAACUAAAUUUUCGCCUUUUAAAAUAGGGAGGCCUCGAAAACCGACGGAGAGAUUUUUUCAUUGGCCAUUUUUAACAAAUAAAAUAUAUAAACUUAAACUAAAUUUUCGUCUUUAAAAAUGGGAAGGCCUCCAAAAUUGACGGAGAGAUUUUCUCAUUGGCCAUUUUAACAAAUAAAAUAUAUAAACUUGAACUAAAAUUCCGUCUUUUAAAAUAGGGAGGCCUCCAAAAUCGACGGAGAGAUUUUCUCAUUGGCCAUUUUAAACAAAUGAUGUAUAUGAUGCGAUAGAUAUAAUAUUUGGUAAAGAUAUAAAUCAGAGAGACAUUAAGAACGAAGCAUAUGAUUGGAAAACUCAAACAAAUUGCUAAAAAUCAUUAGUCCACAAAUAAUGAUAAGAACAAAAAUAAAUAACAAAUAAAAGAGGUAAACAAUGUAUUUAGUUAAACAAACGAAUAUAACAAUUAAUAAUAACAUUAAUCAACAACAAUAAAAAGUGUAUAAU
rnacentral:lncRNA from 1 species